CUUUAAGAGCGCGCCCGAGACUCGCGGCGCGCUCUUAGUUUCAGGCGGGACACGUGACCGCCUCACGCGGUCACUGCCCGCCUUCCAUCCGAAGUAGUUGGAUGAGCCGCGCGCGGCUCGUGCAGCCGCAGGACCGCGCGCGGCUUGAAGAGAGGACCGCGACCGGCCCCCGGUUAAGGUAAGUAACGCUACACAGGGAUACUUGGGAAUUUUUCUUAGACCUGCAAGGUUACUUUUCUGUAAAAGGUUGAGCAACCCUGCUAUAAGAAACACCUAAAUUGGCAUCCCUCUAAACUGGUAUUCCUUAUCUGGCUGAUAUAUUUUUAUGCUUCAUAGAGAUUUGCCAGUGUAUUCACCUUAAACUAAUCAAGGUGAGCUAGCUCCAGCUGCUUAUAUAUAAGAUAUAAGUAAAAUAUUUCUGAAGGUGGCAGUAUGCUUUGUCUAAAAACUGUUAGCGUUACCUCUGUUUAACCCAUUAAAAAAAGCUGACCAUGAAUUUGUGUGGCAUAAAUAUAACCCCUGUGUGAUUUUUUUUCUCUCUUUUUUGCAGUCUUUAUUUAUAUAAUGUUCAGUGUAAGACAGUUAUGGACAAUAGAGAAAAGAUUGAUGUAAAAUAUAAUGUGUAAGUUCACAAAACGAUAGCAGUCGGUGUGUACGUAUGAGGUUAGUUCCAUGCAUAUAUUUAUUGUGUCAUUUCACUGUUUUAAAGGGGUGCUCCGUGCACCAAAACAACUUCAUCUAAAUGAACUCUUACCUUCAGGGCUUAAACCAUUCUUGGGUGUACGGGUAAUAUUUUGAGUUUUUAAACACAGAGGUGAAUUCCAGUCUUGUAAAUAUCCCUCAUAUUUAAAUGGUCAUUAAAGUUGGGAAAAAAAUUACAGGACAUUAAAACCAUCAGAAAAUGUUUUGUAAUACGAAAAAAAAAACAAUAAAAAAACAAACAAAGAAUAUAUAUAUUGUAACGGAAGCCUCUGUCACCUUGGUACUUUGAGAGCACUGCAGGUCAGCCUCUUUCCCACCAACUAUGGGCCUUGGCCUACAAGGGAGUUCUGUUUGGGGAGGUUGGUUCACGGGGGACCAUCGGACUACUCUUCUCCCCGGUUAGGGUUUACCACAUUUCCCCAAGCACUAAGAGUCUCUCAGGGCUGCGGAGCUCUGUUAAGGUAUUUGGGUUCUGUAUUUUGAAAGGGGGUUUUGCAGACUGUCUUGCACCUUAAAUUUAUAAGAAAGUUUGUUUUAUUGUACAGGUUUCCUGGCAUCAGUGAGGAUACAGAUUUCCUGGCAUCUGCUAUUGUUUGUAUUUACUGUCAUUAUCUAUACUCUUAGCAGUUGGUGGUUCGCAAGUGAAGUGAAGUCAGGAUACCGAGGCCAGCUAUAUAUAUAGGCAGUGAUCGGCACUCUCGGACUUGUAAAAGUUAAAACUUACAGUUUAUUAAUAAUCCAUUAAAAUCAGAUCAACGUUUCAGUCCCAGCAGGGACUUUCAUCAGGAUCAGGCAUAGAUAAUGUAAUGAAAACAGUGCAUUUAUAUAAAAUAAACAUCAGUAAAAUUAGUGAAAAAUGACUUACCCCUGGUGCUGAGAAUAGUGGGAGUGCUGCCCCUGGCGUCCCCAUUAUCCCGUGCGCAUGCGCGGACGAAGCCAUGCCCCCGCGUGCCGUGAUGACGUCAUGCGUUACCGUGGC